UCAGUUCAGACNGCAGGCUGCAACUCGCCUGCACGAAGUCGGAAUUGCUAGUAAUCGUAGGUCAGCAUACUACGGUGAAUACGUUCCCGGGCCUUGUACACACCGCCCGUCAAACCAUGAGAGUUGGCAACACCCGAAGUCGGUAGUCUAACCGCAAGGAGGACGCCGCCGAAGGUGGGGUUGAUGAUUAGGGUUAAGUCGUAACAAGGUAAC
rnacentral:rRNA from 1 species